AUUGAACGCUGGCGGCAUGCUUUACACAUGCAAGUCGAACGGCAGCGCGGGCUUCGGCCUGGCGGCGAGUGGCGAACGGGUGAGUAAUGCAUUGGAACGUGCCCAGUAGUGGGGGAUAGCCCGGCGAAAGCCGGAUUAAUACCGCAUACGACCUGAGGGUGAAAGCGGGGGACCGAAAGGCCUCGCGCUAUUGGAGCGGCCGAUGUCGGAUUAGCUAGUUGGUGGGGUAAAGGCUUACCAAGGCGACGAUCCGUAGCUGGUCUGAGAGGGCGACCAGCCACACUGGGACUGAGACACGGCCCAGACUCCUACGGGAGGCAGCAGUGGGGAAUUUUGGACAAUGGGGGCAACCCUGAUCCAGCCAUGCCGCGUGCGGGAAGAAGGCCUUCGGGUUGUAAUCCGCUUUUGUUCGGGAAGAAAUCCUCUGGGCUAAUACCCCGGGGGGAUGACGGUACCGGAAGAAUAAGCACCGGCUAACUACGUG
rnacentral:rRNA from 1 species